rnacentral:rRNA from 1 species
AACGAACGCUGGCGGCAGGCUUAACACAUGCAAGUCGAACGCUCACCUUCGGGUGGGAGUGGCAGACGGGUGAGUAACGCGUGGGAACGUACCCUUUGGUUCGGAAUAACCCAGGGAAACUUGGGGUAAUACCGGAUACGCCCUUCGGGGGAAAGGUUUACUGCCGAAGGAUCGGCCCGCGUCGGAUUAGCUAGUUGGUGGGGUAAAAGCCUACCAAGGCGACGAUCCGUAGCUGGUCUGAGAGGAUGAUCAGCCACACUGGGACUGAGACACGGCCCAGACUCCUACGGGAGGCAGCAGUGGGGAAUAUUGGACAAUGGGCGCAAGCCUGAUCCAGCCAUGCCGCGUGAGUGAAGAAGGCCUUAGGGUUGUAAAGCUCUUUCAGCGGGGAAGAUAAUGACGGUACCCGCAGAAGUAGCCCCGGCUAACUUCGUGCCAGCAGCCGCGGUAAUACGAAGGGGGCUAGCGUUGUCCGGAAUUACUGGGCGUAAAGCGCGCGUAGGCGGGUGAUUAAGUCAGGGGUGAAAUGCCGAGGCUCAACCUCGGAACUGCCUUUGAUACUGGUCGCCUGGAGUUCGGGAGAGGUAAGUGGAAUUCCGAGUGUAGAGGUGAAAUUCGUAGAUAUUCGGAGGAACACCAGAAGCGAAGGCGGCUUACUGGCCCGAUACUGACGCUGAGGCGCGAAAGCGUGGGGAGCAAGCAGGAUUAGAUACCCUGGUAGUCCACGCCGUAACGAUGAAUGCCAGCCGUCCGGGAAGCAUGCU